rnacentral:rRNA from 1 species
GAUGAACGCUGGCGGCGUGCCUAAUACAUGCAAGUCGAGCGAACAGAUGAGGAGCUUGCUCCUCUGACGUUAGCGGCGGACGGGUGAGUAACACGUGGAUAACCUACCUAUAAGACUGGGAUAACUUCGGGAAACCGGAGCUAAUACCGGAUCAUAUAUUGAACCGCAUGGUUCAAUAGUGAAAUACGGUUUUGCUGUCACUUAUCGAUGGAUCCGCGCCGCAUUAGCUAGUUGGUAAGGUAACGGCUUACCAAGGCAACGAUGCGUAGCCGACCUGAGAGGGUGAUCAGCCACACUGGAACUGAGACACGGUCCAGACUCCUACGGGAGGCAGCAGUAGGGAAUCUUCCGAAAUGGGCGAAAGCCUGACGGAGCAACGCCGCGAGAGUGAUGAAGGUCUUCGAAUCGUAAAACUCUGUUAUUAGGGAAGAACAAAUGUGUAAGUAACUAUGCACGUCUUGACGGUACCUAAUCAGAAAGCCACGGCUAACUACGUG